GACGAACGCUGGCGGCGUGCUUAACACAUGCAAGUCGUACGGUAAGGCCCUUUCGGGGGUACACGAGUGGCGCACGGGUGAGUAACACGUGAGUAACCUGCCCACAACUUUGGGAUAACGCUAGGAAACUGGUGCUAAUACUGGAUAUGUGCUCCUGCUGCAUGGUGGGGGUUGGAAAGCUCCGGCGGUUGUGGAUGGACUCGCGGCCUAUCAGCUUGUUGGUGGGGUAGUGGCCUACCAAGGCGGCGACGGGUAGCCGGCCUGAGAGGGUGACCGGCCAAAUUGGGACUUAGAUACGGCCCAGACUCCUACGGGAGGCAGCAGUGGGGAAUAUUGCACAAUGGGCGCAAGCCUGAUGCAGCAACGCCGCGUGCGGGAUGACGGCCUUCGGGUUGUAAACCGCUUUCAGCAGGGACGAAGCUUUUUGUGACGGUACCUGCAGAAGAAGCACCGGCUAACUACGUG
rnacentral:rRNA from 1 species